rfam:Fusarium fujikuroi IMI 58289 draft genome, chromosome FFTJ_chr01
CCGAGUGAUGAUCAAAACGACACCUUAGGGAUUCCUCAUUCUUAAUAUACUAUGUGGAUACUGUUGUUAUAAGUUUCAGCCUUGUCUGACA